rnacentral:misc_RNA from 1 species
UUAUCUCAUUCUCUCCUCGCUUUUCUUUCGCAGAUUUCCUUUGUUGUUGUGUGGGUGUGCUGGCUUGUGUGCCUUACUCACUCCCCACGCUCCGCUGCUCCUCUGUGUGUUUUCUCUUUUUCCCGUCACUCUUCUGCUGUCUCCCCCCUUUUUUCUUGUGUGUGUGCGCGCUUGCACACACACACACACACAUACACCAAUCCGCGCACCUCUCUCCUGCUCUUCUCCUCUCAUUCUCUUUUCCUACAGUGCCUAUCACACAGACACGGACAUAGACAUAGACACGCACACAGUUGCAGCUGUCGUACACCGGGGUUACCUGUGUCGUGUCUUCCCUCGCUGUUCCUCACCUCAUCUUCCCGUUCACCUCGGGUGCCUUGCUCCUUUCGUGCACUUGUUUGCUUUCGACUUCUAUAUCUUUAUAAAGCUGCUUUCUCACUUCCUUCUCUUGCUUGCUUGUGUGUGUGUGUGUGCCUGCCAGGUUGCGGGUUUCUCUUUCGCAUACUCUUUCUCCUCCAUCGCGCGCGCCGGAGAGCGACGGGCGUGUGAGACCUUUCUUGCUUUGCCACCGCUUUACCGCGCGCUACGUGCACAGUGGCAGACGGCGACGACAGAAUCAACAGCACGAGGGUCCCGGUCUAUCGAGCACGGGACCCACAGACACACACACACACACACACACCUGUACUCGAGUGAGCUUUCACAUUGUUAGAGCUGGGGUUCUACGCACGCAGAGGCUGCCGCUACUCAUCGGUUUUUGUUGUCGGGUUUGCUAGCUGCUGCUGCUCUCUCCCUAUACAGAGCCGCUCAGUCAGAAUGCCCUUGCGUCACAAGGGCGGUCCAUUCCUGUCGCAGUUCCCUGACUUGAAGGUGCUGCGGCAGGACGGCACCACUGUCGCCGCGUCGGAAGCGUUCAAGGGGAAGAAGUACGUGCUUAUCUACUUCUCUGCUCACUGGUGCCCGCCAUGCCAGCGCUUCACCCCGCUGCUGGCGGACUUCUACGAUGCCCACAAGGACCGGUACGGGUUUGAGGUGCUGUUUGUAUCGUCGGACCGCGAGGAGGGGCGCAUGAUGGACUUUUUUCAGAAUCGCAGCAGCAACUACGUGCGACGUCCACCGGCGGCAGCGUCGUCUUCGCCUCCACCGGUCGCCUCCAGCGAGGCACUGGACGAGAGCUGCCCCCUGAGCUGCGACAUCACACAUCUCUUAGGGAACCAAACUGGCGCUGCCACCGUAGGCGGCGUUGGCCUGAGCGAGGGCCAGCAGCCCCAAGUCCCCUCCUCGACCGCGGCCGCCGGUGGUGCGCCGACAGCGGCGGGCAUAGCACAGAGCCCACGCAUCCCGAAAGCCAGCGGGCACGGCAACUGGCUGGCACUGCCCUUCAAGGAGCACGAGGUGGCUCGCUUCCUCUCACGCGCCUACUCGGUCGUCUCGAUCCCGAAGGUGGUCGUUGUUGCCGUAGACACGAACUGCAUGGUGACAAGGGAGGGCAAGACGAUGGUGAUGAAGGACCCAGAUGCGGUCCGGUUCCCGUGGCGGUUCGCGGAGGGCGACAUGCGCAACCGCACCGAGGGCUGGCGAGAAAGCUUCGUGCUUCUGCUCCUCAUACUGUGCGGUAUUUACUACUACUUUUGGUAUUAUUAGUAGGGGGAGGUUGCUGCAGCCAGGCGGCAGAAGCAGGUAGUGCUAGCAAAACAAAAAGUGGAGGCGACGGGAGGCUAUUACUUGCACAAUGGCAACGGAAGGCCCUCGCCGCGGCCACGAGCCGAAGUACCGGCAGCCGCGUGUGCGUGUUUGUGUGCGUUUGCGGCUAUCGUAGCUGGGAUCCAACGCCGCACGAAGAGAAGAACCUCCGCGUCACAGCACAGACGAUCGUUCGCCCUUUUUUCGGGUUUCUGUUUUACCCCCCUGUCUCCUUUUUGGCGUCUUCGUGCGUGGCGGACGGUGGGGUCAUCGUCGUGAUGGCGCUGCCGCUCUUGUCCCCCCUCCGUCUCCUGUUUGUUAG